rnacentral:rRNA from 1 species
UACGGAGGGUGCAAGCGUUAUCCGGAUUCACUGGGUUUAAAGGGUGCGUAGGUGGGUCUGUAAGUCAGUGGUGAAAUCUCCGAGCUUAACUUGGAAACUGCCAUUGAUACUAUAGAUCUUGAAUAUUUGUGGAGGUCAGCGGAAUAUGUCAUGUAGCGGUGAAAAUGCUUAGAUAUGACAUAGAACACCAAUUGCGAAGGCAGCUGGCUACACAUAUAUUGACACUGAGGCACGAAAAGCGUGGGGGAUCAAAACAGG